rnacentral:rRNA from 1 species
CCUACGGGGGGCUGCAGUGAGGAAUAUUGGUCAAUGGACGAGAGUCUGAACCAGCCAAGUAGCGUGAAGGAUGACUGCCCUAUGGGUUGUAAACUUCUUUUAUAUGGGAAUAAAAUGUUCCACGUGUGGGAUUUUGUAUGUACCAUAUGAAUAAGGAUCGGCUAACUCCGUGCCAGCAGCCGCGGUAAUACGGCGGAUCCGAGCGUUAUCCGGAUUUAUUGGGUUUAAAGGGAGAGUAGGUGGAUUGUUAAGUCAGUUGUGAAAGUUUGCGGCUCAACCGUAAAAUUGCAGUUGAAACUGGCAGUCUUGAGUACAGUAGAGGUGGGCGGAAUUCGUGGUGUAGCGGUGAAAUGCUUAGAUAUCACGAAGAACUCCGAUUGCGAAGGCAGUUCACUGGACUGCAACUGACACUGAGGCUCGAAAGUGUGGGUAUCAAACAGGAUUAGAUACCCCAGUAGUC